AAGUCGUAACAAGGUCUCCGUAGGUGAACCUGCGGAGGGAUCAUUAAAAAAAAGAGUUGCGAGACUCGAAAACCAUCGCGAACAUUACCUCUUUCGUCGUUGCUUCGGCGGGCGGCCCCUGACGGGGGCCGUAAGCCCGCCGGAGGCACGGAACACUCUGUUUUCUUAGCGUCUCUCUGAGUGGAUACAACGAAAUAAGUCAAAACUUUCAACAACGGAUCUCUUGGUUCUG
rnacentral:misc_RNA from 1 species